UACAAAAUACAAUAAAUAACUACGUAUGUGUUAUCGUUCGUCUACAAGUUUGUAAUCAGAAGUUCAUUUCAUGUGCAAUGGUAAAAGAACUUAAGAGCGACUGUUCACCUUCUAGCGGUAGCCCUGUCGCUGUCGGCUUCAUGGAUAAAUGCUUCUAGAUUAUUCGAGCUGAAAAACACUUGAAUAAACUUUCAUAUCGCAUAUGAUUCACUUGAUCAAACCGUCAGAUGGCGUAUCACUUUACACAAAAAAUAAAAUAAAAACACUUGUGCACAAAAUUUAAACUGAAUGACUUGCAUUCGGUUUCUUUCUUACAUUUCAUUUUGCACACAGACAAGCUGCAUGUAAUGAAACUUCAAAAUGGCGAAACAGCUGACCGGAUGCCAUAAGCACGGAAAAAGUAGCAGCAAAUAACCGGGUGUUCCAUACAGUUUCCCAAAGGAUUGGUUUAAAUACAGAGUGGUACUUCCUAUGGUUUGAGAAUAAGGUGGUGGUGAUUCAUGGUUGAAAGAGAUAAGGUUGCGUAUACAACCCUGCGAUAAAAAAUGUCCAUUUCGGUGAUGACGGGUGUUUGGCAGCCAUGAUUGUUUUGUUAAACUCCAUACAUUUUGU